CUCCUCUCCCUCGUCAGAUUGCUCUCUCUCUCUCUUCUCUCUCUCCUUUGGCCGUGCGACCCUUCGCCUUCUCGGCGACGGCCCGGCCACCACAGGCCGAGCUGAUCUCCGCCGUGGGUACCAUCGGGUCCGCCUCCCUCUCGCCGUCAAAACCUGACCGACCUCCACCCUUGGGCCGCUCGGAGUUGAUCGGAACACCAUGUUUUCCGACGGAGGUUCGUCCGAAAUCACCCGAACUUCCAGCUCGAUUUUCUCCUUCAAUUUUCCACCAAAUCGGUCGAGUAAGGCAUCAGAGGCCAAACUGAACCACAAGAGGGACCUUCAAGAGGUCCAGCUAGCUCGGACCAGCACAGUUUAUAUUUUCUUAAACCACUGUGGGUACCCGGUUACAGAAACAGGUUGCCGUCAAAUAAGACGAUGUCUACGGACAUCCAAAUUGCCUUCAGUUUAUGUUGCCUUCGGAUAUGAUGAUGUCUACAGACAUCCAGUUUACUUUCAGUUACGUCAGUACACUCGACAUUUGCCUCACGAGUUUUGGGGACGCCCGAACCGUGAGUGCCAGGAUUGCGGAUCAGGCUGACUAUGGUCUCCUGAAUCCUGCCAGUUUGCGGCUCGGAUACACUAUGUGUCGCCGAGACCUGCCAGAGGAAUUGACGAAGUUACAGAGGAAUUAACGGAUACCAGGAAUUGACGGAAAUUACAAAGGCAGUCGAGUGUGCAGGAAUCCACCACCAGGCCAUCUCCUAGCUCCCACGCUACAAAAUUUCCAAGGAAUUUCAGAUUGCUGGAAGAGCUCGAGGGGGGGGAGAGGGGGAAGAAGAGAGAAAGGGGCAGAACAGGGAGAAAAAGCCAACAAAAAAAAAACAGUAAAAAGAAGCAAAAAGACUUAAACAGAGUUAAGUGGUGUUAAGUGGCUUGCCACAUGUCACGAAAUUAGCAGGGAAACUGGGGGGCACAGCAACUUUGGUAACAGGUAAACCGGACUCCAAAACUUCCUUCUGUCGAUACUACAAGUUGAUGCCAAAAAAUUGAUAAAGGAUGCGUCGUCGACCAGUUCCUCCUGAGUUGAGUCGGUGAAGAAAAGGGUUUCAGCGAUGAUUAGAAAGAAAGUGAUGGAGGGUGGCCGUAAGUUAUAUUAUAUUGGAGAUCGACCGAGUACACUUGUUUCCCGGUAGGAAGUUUACAUAUACACAAACAUAUUCAAGAUUCCUCGUAUGAUAAUAUCUGAGACUCCUUAACUAACUUAAAUUAAAUGAUAAUAUCUGAGACUCUCUCUCUCUC